UCUGGAAUGGCUAUAAUUGUUAAUCUAGAAGCAUCUUUUUUUUUUUUUUGACUGUUAGGAUUUAUAUCUGCUUUCUGUACCCUCCUCCUAAUUUCUGGGAAAGGAGAAAGGUUGUUAACAGGUCUUUCCCCGCCACCCCCCAUCCCCAUUACCACCUCUGAUAGAUGGAUAUAGCCAGCUUUUCUGUGGUAUUCUUUAUCUAUAUUACCCUCACCCAGUAUUCUCUUAGAUGGUAGUUGAUAGGCAUAUUUCAUAAAAAAGGAUCAUAUAACCCUCAUAUUUGGUCAUGCCUGGUCCAUAGUAUUUGGGGGGUGAGGAAAGAUUGGUUCUUGAGGAGGAGAGUUACCUGUGAUGGCUAAAGUAAGUGAGAUUUUCAAUAGCUGUCUUCAUUUAGCAAUCUGCAGUCACCACACCUAUACUUUCAUUCUAUAUUUUAAUCAUUAUAGUUCUUAUCACAUAGUGUUAAGUUAUAUGUAAUACUAAACCAUGGAUUAAAGAUUUCCCACUCUGUUAUACAGUAGGUUACAGGCUCAGAGAGCCAAUUUGCUUAAUAUGAAUGAGAUUAGCUUGCUAGCUUCGUAGUUGUAGGUGGUAAACACUUGACUUUAUUAUUAUUGAUGAAAUUGACUUCUUGCUUCAUUUGAUGCUGAAUCUUACUUACCUGAGAUCGAUAGGUUGCAUUAGCAUCACCAAGGGACAAAGGGGUCCCUGUGUUGUGGCAAUUAGAAGAGACUGGAAAGGCCCAGUGCAGUAUUGAUUAAUACCAGUUAGUGCUGCUGUGAUCCUAGACUCAAAUCUUUUAACCCUCAGUAAACUAAACAGAUUCAGCACCUUGAUAGGCUUCUCUUUCAACCUAAUGUCUUCAUUAGAUAAACUAUAUUCUAUGCCCCAGGAGACCCAAUCUGAUCAUUUAAGUGACGCUACCAUUUCAUUUCCUAUCAACUCAAUCGACAUAUGACAGUCCACUCAAUUCUCUGGGGGAAUUCAUGGGUUAUUUAAGUAAUAACAGCAAGGACAUCAAUUUUAUAGUAAUAGUGCCUUGUAUUUUUUCCAGCACCUCUCCCCAAGGAGCAUAAAGCACUUGAUAGACUUUCA
rnacentral:lncRNA from 1 species